GAUGAACGCUGACAGAAUGCUUAACACAUGCAAGUCUUUGGCGAAGCUGUGCUCGCACAGCCUAGCCAAGGCGGACGGGUGAGUAGCGCGUAAGGAACUUGCCCUGCAGUCAGGGAUAACAGACGGAAACGACUGAUAAGACCUGGUAAAGUCAGGCGGACUCAUGUCCAGCCUGAUGAAAAGAGAUGCUGCAGGAGAGCCUUGCGUCCUAUUAGCUUGUUGGUGGGGUAACGGCCCACCAAGGCGAUGAUAGGUAGCCGGCCUGAGAGGGUGGACGGCCACAAGGGGACUGAGAUACGGCCCUUACUCCUACGGGAGGCAGCAGUGGGGAAUAUUGGACAAUGGGGGCAACCCUGAUCCAGCAAUUCUGUGUGCACGAUGAAGGUUUUCGGAUUGUAAAGUGCUUUCAGCAGGGAAGAAAAAAAUGACGGUACCUGCAGAAGAAGCGACGGCUAAAUACGUG
rnacentral:rRNA from 1 species